rnacentral:rRNA from 1 species
UACGUAGGGGGCAAGCGUUGUCCGGAUUUAUUGGGCGUAAAGAGCGUGUAGGCGGUUUGGUAGGUCCGUUGUGAAAACUCGAGGCUCAACCUCGAGACGCCGGCGGAAACCAUCAGGCUAGAGUCCGGAAGAGGAGAGUGGAAUUCCUGGUGUAGCGGUGAAAUGCGCAGAUAUCAGGAAGAACACCCGUGGCUAAGGCGGCUCUCUAGGACGGUACUGACGCUGAGACGCGAAAGCGUGGGGAGCGAACAGG